rnacentral:rRNA from 1 species
GACGAACGCUGGCGGCGUGCCUAAUACAUGCAAGUUGAGCGCUGAAGGUUGGUACUUGUACCAACUGGAUGAGCAGCGAACGGGUGAGUAACGCGUGGGGAAUCUGCCUUUGAGCGGGGGACAACAUUUGGAAACGAAUGCUAAUACCGCAUAAAAACUUUAAACACAAGUUUUAAGUUUGAAAGAUGCAAUUGCAUCACACAAAGAUGAUCCCGCGUUGUAUUAGCUAGUUGGUGAGGUAAAGGCUCACCAAGGCGAUGAUACAUAGCCGACCUGAGAGGGUGAUCGGCCACAUUGGGACUGAGACACGGCCCAAACUCCUACGGGAGGCAGCAGUAGGGAAUCUUCGGCAAUGGACGAAAGUCUGACCGAGCAACGCCGCGUGAGUGAAGAAGGUUUUCGGAUCGUAAAACUCUGUUGGUAGAGAAGAACGUUGGUGGGGGUGGAAAGCUCAUCAAGUGACGGUAACUAACAAGAAAGGGACGGCUAACUACGUG